rnacentral:rRNA from 1 species
GAAGCAGUGUACGUCAGACUUCCAAGAAAAGCUCGCAAUGUCAUAAAUAAAAAGUGCCUGUACCAUAACCGACACAGGUGGGUAGGUAGAGUAUACUAAGGGGCGCGAGAUAACUCUCUCUAAGGAACUCGGCAAAAUGACUCCGUAACUUCGGGAGAAGGAGUGCCUUAUUUAUAAGGUUGCAAUAACAAGAUCCAAGCAACUGUUUAUCAAAAACACAGGUCUCCGCUAAGUCGUAAGACGAUGUAUGGGGGCUGACGCCUGCCCAGUGCCAGAAGGUUAAAGAAGUUGGUUAGUGUAUGCGAAGCUGAUGACUGAAGCCCUGGUGAACGGCGGCCGUAACAAUAACGGUCCUAAGGUAGCGAAAUUCCUUGUCGGGUAAGUUCCGACCCGCACGAAAGGCGUAAUGAUUUGGAUACUGUCUCGGAGAGAGGCUCGGUGAAAUAGACUUGUCUGUGAAGAUGCGGACUACCUGCACCAGGACAGAAAGACCCUAUGAAGCUUUACUGUAACUUGAAAUUGGAAUUGGACUUUGCUUGCGCAGUAUAGGUGGGAAGCGUUGAAGAUAUUCUUGCGGGAGUAUUGGAGCUAUCAGUGAGAUACCACUCUUGUAAUGUUAGAUUUCUAACUUUGAACCAUAAUCUGGUCAAAGAACAGUUUCAGGUGGGCAGUUUGACUGGGGCGGUCGCCUCCCAAAUGGUAACGGAGGCGUACAAAGGUUUCCUCUGAACGGAUAGAAAUCGUAUCUAGAGUGUAAAGGCAUAAGGAAGCUUGACUGUGAGACCUACAAGUCGAGCAGGGACGAAAGUCGGUCUUAGUGAUCUGACGGUACUGAGUGGAAAGGCCGUCACUCAACGGAUAAAAGUUACUCUAGGGAUAACAGGCUGAUCUCCCCCAAGAGUUCACAUCGACGGGGAGGUUUGGCACCUCGAUGUCGGCUCAUCGCAUCCUGGGGCGGUAGUACGUCCCAAGGGUUGGGCUGUUCGCCCAUGAAAGCGGUACGCGAGCUGGGUUCAGAACGUCGUGAGACAGUUCGGUCCAUAUCCGGUGUAGGCGUUAGAAUAUUGAGAGGAGCCUUCUUUAGUACGAGAGGACCGAGAAGGACACACCGCUGGUGUACCAGUUAUCGUGCCAACGGUAAACGCUGGGUAGCUAUGUGUGGAGUGGAUAACCGCUGAAAGCAUCUAAGUGGGAAGCCCACCUCAAGAUGAGUAUUCCC